rnacentral:rRNA from 1 species
GAUGAACGCUGGCGGCGUGCCUAAUACAUGCAAGUCGAGCGAACAGACGAGGAGCUUGCUCCUCUGACGUUAGCGGCGGACGGGUGAGUAACACGUGGAUAACCUACCUAUAAGACUAGGAUAACUUCGGGAAACCGGAGCUAAUACCGGAUAAUAUAUUGAACCGCAUGGUUCAAUAGUGAAAGACGGUUUUGCUGUCACUUAUAGAUGGAUCCGCGCCGCAUUAGCUAGUUGGUAAGGUAACGGCUUACCAAGGCAACGAUGCGUAGCCGACCUGAGAGGGUGAUCGGCCACACUGGAACUGAGACACGGUCCAGACUCCUACGGGAGGCAGCAGUAGGGAAUCUUCCGCAAUGGGCGAAAGCCUGACGGAGCAACGCCGCGUGAGUGAUGAAGGUCUUCGGAUCGUAAAACUCUGUUAUUAGGGAAGAACAAAUGUGUAAGUAACUAUGCACGUCUUGACGGUACCUAAUCAGAAAGCCGCGGCUAACUACGUG